GACUGCUCCGGUGGCCUAGUUGUUAGGGCGUCCGCCUCGGAUGCGGAGGUCGUUGGUUCAAAACCAUGGCCGAGUCA